rnacentral:rRNA from 1 species
ACCUUUUACAGAGGAAUAGCCUUUAGAAAUGAAGAUUAAUGCCUCAUGGUAUUGUAGACUGGCAUCAGUUUAUAAUUAAAGAUUUAUCGGUAAAAGAUGGCUAUGCGUCCUAUUAGUUAGUUGGUAAGGUAACGGCUUACCAAGACAGCGAUAGGUAGGGGUCCUGAGAGGGAGAUCCCCCACACUGGUACUGAGACACGGACCAGACUUCUACGGGAGGCAGCAGUGAGGAAUAUUGGACAAUGGAGGAGACUCUGAUCCAGCCAUGCCGCGUGUAGGAAGAAUGCCCUAUGGGUUGUAAACUACUUUUAUACAGGAAGAAACACUGGUAUGUAUA